rnacentral:piRNA from 1 species
UAGCUACAGGAAGGAUGACAGAAGUCCAAG